UUCUUUGUUUUCUCUUUGUUUUUCUUAUCUUCAGUCCCACUUUUCUCCUCUUCUGUGUCAUCAUCACAAGAGGAAGUACCAGGAGAAGGCUCAUAAUUUUGAGAAGA
rnacentral:ribozyme from 13 species